GACGUAGGGCGCGAGCGUUGUCCGGAUUUAUUGGGCGUAAAGAGCUCGUAGGUGGUUUGUCGCGUUGUUCGUGAAAACCGGGGGCUUAACCCUCGGCGUGCGGGCGAUACGGGCAGACGUGGAGUACUGCAGGGGAGGACUGGAAUUCCUGGUGUAGCGGUGAAAUGCGCAGAUAUCAGGAGGAACACCGGUGGCGAAGGCGGGUCUCUGGGCCGUAACUGACGCUGAGGAGCGAAAGCGUGGGGAGCGAACAGG
rnacentral:rRNA from 1 species